rnacentral:antisense_RNA from 1 species
AAGCGGGGCAGCCCGACGUAGAAAGCCUUUGGGUCUGCCGAGUUCCUUUCCUCGGUUCGCCAAUCUGCGUGCAGCGGCCCUCCAA